UAUAUGGGAAGAGCAUCUAUAAAACAAAACCAAGCUUCUUAUCAUUCACGAAUCCACUCUUCUCUCAAUUUCUUGUUUAGUUAUUUCUCAACUAUGGAUUCUUCCCCCGUUGCACCAGUUCGUGGGCAGGAUGACUACCCCAACCUGAAACCGAUUCGGACCAGCAAUAUCAAAGGGACAAAAGACAAACAAGACAAAAGUUAAAUCAAGCACGAAAUGGUCAAAAAGGGGAAAAAAAAAUACCAAACAUCGAAAAGUGAGGAAGAAGAAAGAUGAUGCAUGUUUUAUCUUAUCUAAUUAUUGUGGAUUAAAUAAUUUGAAUUUGCAUCGGAUGAAUUUUUUCUUCCUCUUAUCUUUUUCUUCAUUUUCAACUUAUUUUCUGUAACUUCUGUACAAGUAUUUAUUCAAAAUGCUAUUGAAAAUCAAAAUAUGGUUCUUUUUUGA